rnacentral:rRNA from 1 species
GAUGAACGCUGGCGGCGUGCCUAAUACAUGCAAGUCGAACGAGUUCUCGUUGAUGAUCGGUGCUUGCACCGAGAUUCAACAUGGAACGAGUGGCGGACGGGUGAGUAACACGUGGGUAACCUGCCCUUAAGUGGGGGAUAACAUUUGGAAACAGAUGCUAAUACCGCAUAGAUCCAAGAACCGCAUGGUUCUUGGCUGAAAGAUGGCGUAAGCUAUCGCUUUUGGAUGGACCCGCGGCGUAUUAGCUAGUUGGUGAGGUAAUGGCUCACCAAGGCGAUGAUACGUAGCCGAACUGAGAGGUUGAUCGGCCACAUUGGGACUGAGACACGGCCCAAACUCCUACGGGAGGCAGCAGUAGGGAAUCUUCCACAAUGGACGCAAGUCUGAUGGAGCAACGCCGCGUGAGUGAAGAAGGCUUUCGGGUCGUAAAACUCUGUUGUUGGAGAAGAAUGGUCGGCAGAGUAACUGUUGUCGGCGUGACGGUAUCCAACCAGAAAGCCACGGCUAACUACGUGCCAGCAGCCGCGGUAAUACGUAGGUGGCAAGCGUUAUCCGGAUUUAUUGGGCGUAAAGCGAGCGCAGGCGGUUUUUUAAGCCUGAUGUGAAAGCCCUCGGCUUAACCGAGGAAGCGCAUCGGAAACUGGGAAACUUGAGUGCAGAAGAGGACAGUGGAACUCCAUGUGUAGCGGUGAAAUGCGUAGAUAUAUGGAAGAACACCAGUGGCGAAGGCGGCUGUCUGGUCUGUAACUGACGCUGAGGCUCGAAAGCAUGGUAGCGAACAGGAUUAGAUACCCUGGUAGUCCAUGGCCGUAAACGAUGAAUGCUAGGUGUUGGAGGGUUUCCGCCCUUCAGUGCCGCAGCUAACGCAUUAAGCAUUCCGCCUGGGGAGUACGACCGCAAGGUUGAAACUCAAAGGAAUUGACGGGGGCCCGCACAAGCGGUGGAGCAUGUGGUUUAAUUCGAAGCAACGCGAAGAACCUUACCAGGUCUUGACAUCUUUUGAUCACCUGAGAGAUCAGGUUUCCCCUUCGGGGGCAAAAUGACAGGUGGUGCAUGGUUGUCGUCAGCUCGUGUCGUGAGAUGUUGGGUUAAGUCCCGCAACGAGCGCAACCCUUAUGACUAGUUGCCAGCAUUUAGUUGGGCACUCUAGUAAGACUGCCGGUGACAAACCGGAGGAAGGUGGGGAUGACGUCAAAUCAUCAUGCCCCUUAUGACCUGGGCUACACACGUGCUACAAUGGAUGGUACAACGAGUCGCGAGACCGCGAGGUCAAGCUAAUCUCUUAAAGCCAUUCUCAGUUCGGACUGUAGGCUGCAACUCGCCUACACGAAGUCGGAAUCGCUAGUAAUCGCGGAUCAGCACGCCGCGGUGAAUACGUUCCCGGGCCUUGUACACACCGCCCGUCACACCAUGAGAGUUUGUAACACCCGAAGCCGGUGGCGUAACCCUUUUAGGGAGCGAGCCGUCUAAGGUGGGACAAAUGAUUAGGGUG